AACGAACGCUGGCGGCAUGCCUAACACAUGCAAGUCGAACGAAGCCUUCGGGCUUAGUGGCGCACGGGUGCGUAACGCGUGGGAAUCUGCCCUUUGGUUCGGAAUAACAGUUGGAAACGACUGCUAAUACCGGAUGAUGACGAAAGUCCAAAGAUUUAUCGCCAGAGGAUGAGCCCGCGUAGGAUUAGCUAGUUGGUGUGGUAAAGGCGCACCAAGGCGACGAUCCUUAGCUGGUCUGAGAGGAUGCUCAGCAACACUGGGACUGAGACACGGACGAGAAUCCUACGUGAGGCAGCAGUGGGGAAGAUUGGACAAUGGGCGAAAGCCUGAUCCAGCAAUGCCGCGUGAGUGAUGAAGGCCCUAGGGUUGUAAAGCUCUUUUACCCGGGAUGAUAAUGACAGUACCGGGAGAAUAAGCCCCGGCUAACCCCGUGCCAGCCGCCGCGGUAA
rnacentral:rRNA from 1 species